UACAGAGGUGGCAAGCGUUGUUCGGAAUUACUGGGCGUAAAGGGCGCGUAGGCGGCCUUCUAAGUCAGACGUGAAAUCCCCCGGCUUAACCUGGGAACUGCGUCUGAUACUGGAGGGCUUGAGUGCGGGAGAGGGAUGUGGAAUUCCAGGUGUAGCGGUGAAAUGCGUAGAUAUCUGGAGGAACACCGGUGGCGAAGGCGGCAUCCUGGACCGACACUGACGCUGAGGCGCGAAAGCUAGGGUAGCAAACAGG
rnacentral:rRNA from 1 species